rnacentral:rRNA from 1 species
AGUGAACGCUGGCGGCAGGCCUAAUACAUGCAAGUCGAACGGCAGCACAGUGGAGCUUGCUCCAUGGGUGGCGAGUGGCGGACGGGUGAGGAAUACAUGGGAAUCUGCCCAGUCGUGGGGGAUAACGUAUGGAAACGUACGCUAAUACCGCAUGCGCCCUUCGGGGGAAAGUCGGGGACCGCAAGGCCUGACGCGAUUGGAUGAGCCCAUGUUCGAUUAGCUAGUUGGCGGGGUAACGGCCCACCAAGGCGACGAUCGAUAGCUGGUCUGAGAGGAUGAUCAGCCACACUGGAGCUGAGACACGGUCCAGACUCCUACGGGAGGCAGCAGUAGGGAAUAUUGGACAAUGGGCGCAAGCCUGAUCCAGCCAUGCCGCGUGAGUGAAGAAGGCCCUCGGGUUGUAAAGCUCUUUUGUUGGGGAAGAAAAGCAGUUGGUUAAUACCCGAUUGUUCUGACGGUACCCAAAGAAUAAGCACCGGCUAACUUCGUG